CCGAUUAUAGCGAGCCCGGUCGCUUCUGACCGAGGUAUCGUGAAAUUUGUAUUUAAAACCCACUCUUUUUAAUAAAUUUAUCGUGUCAUUUAUUGAUAAUAAAUUUUAAGA
rnacentral:misc_RNA from 1 species